GCCUCUGGAGCCUCGUCGUGGGUCCCAUUGGCCUCCCGGUUCCUGUUCUGCCGCCAGCAGGUACUUGCUCUACUGGUAGUGUCGUAGGUCCCAUUGACCUCGAAGCCAGGCUCAGGAGAUUGGCUGGGAGGUCGACAGAGUCUGCGACAAUGCUCAGGAGGUCAGUCAGGACUUGACACAUCCCCAGCAUCCCCAAGGUUCCCACUCUGUCGCCAACACCCACCAAGUCUGCUUCCACUCCCUCCACUCACACCUGUUCAUCAGCCCAGGUCCUGCACAGUGGUGCACUUGAUAGCACUGUUGCCUUGCAGCAAGAAGGUCCUGGCUUCAAUUCSCAGCAUGGAGUUCACAUGUUCUCCCAAUGCAUGCGUAUGGAUGUGUGCAUGCAUGGUUGUUUUGUCCUGCCUCUGUGUUGCUGGCGACCUGUCCAGGGUGUACCCCACCUUCUGCUAGAGAUAGGCACCAGCACCUCUCCUGACCCCACUUUGACAAUGGUGUAAGAAAAUGGAUCGAUGGAUCAUCCACCCCAGGUCUUUUCUGAAGCUCACAACCUCCAGUAUUUAACCACUUCAUUGUUAGUCACUAGUUGCCGGUUCGUCUUGUCACUUUUCUCAUUUCUUCCUGGUUUCCUUGUGAUCUUCCUAUGUCUCCAAUUUGUCUUUGUUUUGCACUUCUUUUGUGUCCCUGGAUUUUUUAUUUCAUGUUUGUAAGUUUAAUUAUUCGUUUUCCCAUUUAAAUAUUCUUAAAUUAACUACGUCUCUCACCUGGUGCACUUGGGUCCACUUA